UGGGGAAUAUUGCACAAUGGGCGCAAGCCUGAUGCAGCCAUGCCGCGUGUGUGAAGAAGGCCUUCGGGUUGUAAAGCACUUUCAGCGAGGAGGAAGGUGGUGAGCUUAAUACGCUCAUCAAUUGACGUUACUCGCAGAAGAAGCACCGGCUAACUCCGUGCCAGCAGCCGCGGUAAUACGGAGGGUGCAAGCGUUAAUCGGAAUUACUGGGCGUAAAGCGCACGCAGGCGGUUUGUUAAGUCAGAUGUGAAAUCCCCGGGCUCAACCUGGGAACUGCAUUUGAAACUGGCAAGCUAGAGUCUCGUAGAGGGGGUAGAAUUCCAGGUGUAGCGGUGAAAUGCGUAGAGAUCUGGAGGAAUACCGGUGGCGAAGGCGGCCCCCUGGACGAAGACUGACGCUCAGGUGCGAAAGCGUGGGGAGCAAAACAGGAUUAGAUACCCUGGUAGUCCACGCUGUAAAACGAUGUCGAUUUUGGAGGUUGUGCCCUUGAGGCGUGGCUUCCGGAGCUAACGCGUUAAAUCGACCGCCUGGGGAGUACGGCCGCAAGGUUAAAACUUAAAUGAAUUGAC
rnacentral:rRNA from 1 species